AGUGAACGCUGGCGGUAGGCCUAACACAUGCAAGUCGAACGGCAGCACAGUAGGAGCUUGCUCUUACGGGUGGCGAGUGGCGGACGGGCGAGGAAUACAUCGGAAUCUACUUUUUCGUGGGGGAUAACGUAGGGAAACUUACGCUAAUACCGCAUACGACCUACGGGUGAAAGCAGGGGAUCUUCGGACCUUGCGCGAUUGAAUGAGCCGAUGUCGGAUUAGCUAGUUGGCGGGGUAAAGGCCCACCAAGGCGACGAUCCGUAGCUGGUCUGAGAGGAUGAUCAGCCACACUGGAACUGAGACACGGUCCAGACUCCUACGGGAGGCAGCAGUGGGGAAUAUUGGACAAUGGGCGCAAGCCUGAUCCAGCCAUACCGCGUGGGUGAAGAAGGCCUUCGGGUUGUAAAGCCCUUUUGUUGGGAAAGAAAAGCAGCAGGUUAAUACCCCGCUGUUCUGACGGUACCCAAAGAAUAAGCACCGGCUAACUUCGUG
rnacentral:rRNA from 1 species